CAACAGCCCAGCAUCUGCCCUCACGUAGGGUGUGGCUAGGUUAACUGCUAAGGGAGCAAAAACUGAAUUGUGUAGUGGAGACCUGGCUACCAAGAUGGACAUGUUCCAGUCACAGGCAUAGAGAAAGUUCUCUGUUUGGUGCCCAUCAACUUAAGUCCUUCCUUAUACCUGGCAGUGUCACCAUCUUUCACAGUCACAGAUUCUGCCACUUUGGCCAGGCGUCUCAUUAGUCCCACCCCUCAUCACAAAAGAGUCUACUGGGGACAGGUCAGCACAAACCCACCAACGUGACCAGAAGCAUAACUCACAGAACCUAUCCUGCUGGCAGAGGGGAGCAAGGGCACCAAGGACAGCCUCAUCCCCUGGAGAAAUGUCCUCAUUUGCCAGGAUGCCUCAUUGGCUGCUUGAAUUGGUUGGACUCAGGAAGUCUAUUAGCUCUGAGUCCAGAGCUGUUGUUUGAGACUCAAGAUGAAAAAGGAGGCAAUUUCUACAUUUAUCUAAUGCACAGCUAAGAGUGGAGGUUGGGUGAACCUGAUUUCAAAAGCAAACUGAGUAUUAAAUUUCACCACUUUUUAAAGCGCUGACGUG
rnacentral:lncRNA from 10 species